UUAAGUUAUUAAGGGCGCACGGUGGAUGCCUUGGCACUAGAAGCCGAUGAAGGACGUUACUAACGACGAUAUGCUUUGGGGAGCUGUAAGUAAGCUUUGAUCCAGAGAUUUCCGAAUGGGGAAACCCAGCAUGAGUUAUGUCAUGUUAUCGAUAUGUGAAUACAUAGCAUAUCAGAAGGCACACCCGGAGAACUGAAACAUCUUAGUACCCGGAGGAAGAGAAAGAAAAUUCGAUUCCCUUAGUAGCGGCGAGCGAAACGGGAAGAGCCCAAACCAACAAGCUUGCUUGUUGGGGUUGUAGGACACUCUAUACGGAGUUACAAAGGACGACAUUAGACGAAUCAUCUGGAAAGAUGAAUCAAAGAAGGUAAUAAUCCUGUAGUCGAAAAUGUUGUCUCUCUUGAGUGGAUCCUGAGUACGACGGAGCACGUGAAAUUCCGUCGGAAUCUGGGAGGACCAUCUCCUAAGGCUAAAUACUCUCUAGUGACCGAUAGUGAACCAGUACCGUGAGGGAAAGGUGAAAAGCACCCCGGAAGGGGAGUGAAAUAGAACCUGAAACCGUGUGCUUACAAGUAGUCAGAGCCCGUUAAUGGGUGAUGGCGUGCCUUUUGUAGAAUGAACCGGCGAGUUACGAUUUGAUGCAAGGUUAAGCAGUAAAUGUGGAGCCGUAGCGAAAGCGAGUCUGAAUAGGGCGUUUAGUAUUUGGUCGUAGACCCGAAACCAGGUGAUCUACCCUUGGUCAGGUUGAAGUUCAGGUAACACUGAAUGGAGGACCGAACCGACUUACGUUGAAAAGUGAGCGGAUGAACUGAGGGUAGCGGAGAAAUUCCAAUCGAACCUGGAGAUAGCUGGUUCUCUCCGAAAUAGCUUUAGGGCUAGCCUCAAGUGAUGAUUAUUGGAGGUAGAGCACUGUUUGGACGAGGGGCCCCUCUCGGGUUACCGAAUUCAGACAAACUCCGAAUGCCAAUUAAUUUAACUUGGGAGUCAGAACAUGGGUGAUAAGGUCCGUGUUCGAAAGGGAAACAGCCCAGACCACCAGCUAAGGUCCCAAAAUAUAUGUUAAGUGGAAAAGGAUGUGGCGUUGCCCAGACAACUAGGAUGUUGGCUUAGAAGCAGCCAUCAUUUAAAGAGUGCGUAAUAGCUCACUAGUCGAGUGACACUGCGCCGAAAAUGUACCGGGGCUAAACAUAUUACCGAAGCUGUGGAUUGUCCUUUGGACAAUGGUAGGAGAGCGUUCUAAGGGCGUUGAAGCAUGAUCGUAAGGACAUGUGGAGCGCUUAGAAGUGAGAAUGCCGGUGUGAGUAGCGAAAGACGGGUGAGAAUCCCGUCCACCGAUUGACUAAGGUUUCCAGAGGAAGGCUCGUCCGCUCUGGGUUAGUCGGGUCCUAAGCUGAGGCCGACAGGCGUAGGCGAUGGAUAACAGGUUGAUAUUCCUGUACCACCUAUAAUCGUUUUAAUCGAUGGGGGGACGCAGUAGGAUAGGCGAAGCGUGCGAUUGGAUUGCACGUCUAAGCAGUAAGGCUGAGUAUUAGGCAAAUCCGGUACUCAUUAAGGCUGAGCUGUGAUGGGGAGAAGACAUUGUGUCUUCGAGUCGUUGAUUUCACACUGCCGAGAAAAGCCUCUAGAUAGAAAAUAGGUGCCCGUACCGCAAACCGACACAGGUAGUCAAGAUGAGAAUUCUAAGGUGAGCGAGCGAACUCUCGUUAAGGAACUCGGCAAAAUGACCCCGUAACUUCGGGAGAAGGGGUGCUCUUUAGGGUUAACGCCCAGAAGAGCCGCAGUGAAUAGGCCCAAGCGACUGUUUAUCAAAAACACAGGUCUCUGCUAAACCGUAAGGUGAUGUAUAGGGGCUGACGCCUGCCCGGUGCUGGAAGGUUAAGAGGAGUGGUUAGCUUCUGCGAAGCUACGAAUCGAAGCCCCAGUAAACGGCGGCCGUAACUAUAACGGUCCUAAGGUAGCGAAAUUCCUUGUCGGGUAAGUUCCGACCCGCACGAAAGGCGUAACGAUUUGGGCACUGUCUCAACGAGAGACUCGGUGAAAUCAUAGUACCUGUGAAGAUGCAGGUUACCCGCGACAGGACGGAAAGACCCCGUGGAGCUUUACUGUAGCCUGAUAUUGAAAUUCGGCACAGCUUGUACAGGAUAGGUAGGAGCCUUUGAAACGUGAGCGCUAGCUUACGUGGAGGCGCUGGUGGGAUACUACCCUAGCUGUGUUGGCUUUCUAACCCGCACCACUUAUCGUGGUGGGAGACAGUGUCAGGCGGGCAGUUUGACUGGGGCGGUCGCCUCCUAAAAGGUAACGGAGGCGCUCAAAGGUUCCCUCAGAAUGGUUGGAAAUC
rnacentral:rRNA from 1 species